rnacentral:rRNA from 1 species
CCUACAAAAGACCCCCUAGGGAAAGUUGCAAAGAACUUUGAAGAGAGAGUUCAAGAGGGCGUGAAACCGAUUAGAGGGAAACGGGUAGAGCCAAUGAAAGCCGGCGGUAUUCAGCCAGGCCUUCGGGCCUGGUGUAUUUGCUGUCGGCGACGCUGACGGGGGUGGCGCCGGCCUUCGACCUUGUCUUAGAGGACUGUUUCGGCAGCACCCUGUUGGCUUGGAAGACUGCCUCGGCGCUACUGCUAAUGGGUGUCCACCCUGGCGACGGCGUCCUUGUGCGGCGUCAGGGCGGACGGCGGACCAGGUGUAGCUUGCUAUGCCCCUGUCGUCUGUUCUAAAUCGCACGAGGGAUCGGCACUGUGUCAGUGUAAAAGUUGGCGGCCUACCUGACCCGUCUUGAAACACGGACCAAGGAGUCUAACAUGUGCGCAAGUUGAAAGGUGGUAAACCUAUAGAGCGCAAUGAAAGUGAAUGCCGGUCAAACUGGCUGAUAUGGGAUCGGGUCCUCCGGGGCCCGCUCACCAUAGUCCCGUCGCGUCUGCAUGUCAGUGCGGCGGAGACAGAGCGUACACGUUGGGACCCGAAAGAUGGUGAACUAUGCCUGAGCAGGAUGAAGCCAGGGGAAACUCUGGUGGAGGUCCGAAGCGGUUCUGACGUGCAAAUCGAUCGUCAGACUUGGGUAUAGGGGCGAAAGACUAAUCGAACCAUCUAGUAGCUCGUCCCCUUUCCCGAA